GUUAUUUUUGGGCAACUUGGUUCAAAGAAACCCAUACUUCUGAUGUAAAAAACUGGGGGAAUGUGACAACACAAGG